CCAGUUAGAUAGUUGCUAUUGACACGGAUAUCAAUCCGUCUCAAUAGAGGAAAGUCCGGGCACCGCAGGACAGGAUGCUCCCUAACGGGGUGAGGCUAAAAUCACAGCUUAUGGAAAGUGCAGCAGAAAGUAUACCGCCUUCGGGUAAGGGUGAAACAGUAGUGUAAGAGACUACUAUUCUUUAAAGAGAUUUAAAGAAUUUGCAAACCCCAUCUGGUGCAAGAUCGAAUAGGCUCCGAGAUGUUGUUCGCAUUGCUUGAGGAGCGGGUAGAUUGCUUGAGGUUUAUGGUAACAUAAACACUAGAUAAAUGACUAUCCAUUGGAUAAUUGACUUUAUUUGAUGACAGAACUCGGCUUAUGAGCUGGCUCAA
rnacentral:RNase_P_RNA from 1 species